CUUGACCGUGCAGGGUAGCAUAAUCAUUUGUCUUUUAAUUAAAGGCUUGUAUGAAUGGUUGGAUGAGAUAUAAUCUAUUUUUAUUUAAUUAAAAAUGAAUUUUAAUUUUUAGUAAAAAUGCUAAAAUAAAAAAUAUAGACGAGAAGACCCUAUAAAUCUUUAUUAUUUUUUUAUUAAUUUAUUAAUAGAAUAUAAAAUUUAUUAAUAAAAAAAUAAUUUUAUUGGGGUGAUAAUGAAAUUUAAUAAACUUUUGUUUUAUUUUAUAAAUAUAAUUAAUUUAAUGAUCCAUUUUUAAUGAUUAUAAAAUUAAGUUACUUUAGGGAUAACAGCGUAAUUAUUUUAAAGAGUUCAUAUCGAUAAAAUAGUUUGCGACCUCGAUGUUGAAUUAAGAGUAAGUUUAGGUGUAGACGCA
rnacentral:rRNA from 1 species